rnacentral:lncRNA from 1 species
AUAUGUGCAGGAUGUGGCAAUUUGGUCACCAAACAAUGCUCAGGCAGGAUCCUGUAGCUACUUGCCAUUGGUCCAUCUAUUAACGAGUAUGCAUCUCUACCACAGAAGGCUUCUGCCAGACCUGUUCCUGUGGGAGUGGAAUCAUUGUGGGACCUGAUGAUUCAACAGUUGAUGAAGAAGCUGAAGCCAGGAGAAGCUAAUUAAAACUUCCAAAUUCCCCUAUAUUCUUUGCACUGCACCAGAGUGAACUUCCAUGGGCACUGAUUACCCAUCAUCUGGAAAGCACUGACAACAAACAACGACCACUGCAACUCUCUAUCCACUCAGAAGCCACAAUUAAACAGCAAGAUCCCUCCUUGGUGGACCUCCUCACAUGAGAGAAACCACAUCGGCUUGUACUGAAUACUACAUGCAAAAAGAACGCUGAAGCAUGAAACAUCAGAAGGCAAUAUCAUGUGCCAGUGCUGUACCAAGCCAUAGCGAAGCCUAAGGCAGAAGGAGAAGUCAGUAAUGCUGAUACUGUCUUUAUUUAAAAUUUUGAUAUUUUGAUAUUUUAUUAAUUAUAAAUGUUUUGGCAUUAAUUUUGAUUUUUAAAAAUAUCACACUAAAAUAUUAUUUAUCUUGACUACUAA